AUUGAACGCUGGCGGCAGGCCUAACACAUGCAAGUCGAGCGGAUGAAGGGAGCUUGCGCCUGGAUUCAGCGGCGGACGGGUGAGUGAUGCCUAGGAGUCUGCCUGGUAGGGGGGGAUAACGUCCGGAAACGGGCGCUAAUACCGCAUACGUCCUGAGCGAGAAGGUGGGGGAGCUUCGGACCGCACGCUAGGAGAGGAGCCUAGGUCGGAUUAGCUAGUUGGUGGGGUAAGUGCCUACCAAGGCGACGAUCCGUAACUGGUCUGAGAGGAUGAUAAGUCACACUGGAACUUGGACACGGUCCUGACUCCUACGGGAGGCCGCAGUGGGGAAUAUUGGACAAUGGGCGAAAGCAUGAUACAGCCAUGCCGAGUGUGUGAAGAAGGUCUUCGGAUUGUAAAGCACUUUAAGUUGGGAGGAAGGGCAGUAAGUUAAUACCUUGCUGUUUUGACGUUACCAACAGAAUAAGCACCGGCUAACUUCGUG
rnacentral:rRNA from 1 species